rnacentral:lncRNA from 1 species
UUUUAUCUGUGGAAUGGAGCCAACUUGUAAUGUACAGCUUACAGGACCAUUAUGGAAAAUAUCCUUAAAACUGGCAAUUAAAUCCAAAGGUCCAAAGGUGGCAUCCAAGGACACGUGUUUGUCCCAUGGCAUGGCAUCCUUGAUGCUUCAUUUUAAAUGGACUUGGAUAGGACUGGCCAUUACAGAUGAUGACGAAGGUAUUCAGUUUCUCUCAGACUUGAGAGAAGAAAUGCAAAGGUGGCUUCUUUGGUGA